UCUGUGUGUGUCUCAGAUCCAGAACCUAAAGCCUGUGUCUGCUUCAGAUGGACAGUAGUCCAAGGGUUUUCACUUCUAUUUGUGUCUCAGACUGAAUUUGCUGAUGAUCGACUGUCGCUGUUUUCACACAUUCAGCUCUGCUCAGUUCUUUGUUUCUAGAAUGUGUCCAUAUGGAGAGGAAAAGGCUGAACGUGGACAACAGCCAUUAAACUUGGGGUGGGAUUUUAGCAGAGGUAAAAGUGGGCGUGGCUACAGAUGUCCACACCUACUUUGGUGCUGAUUGAUCCGUGUUUAGGAAAAUAAG